rnacentral:sRNA from 1 species
UCUUCUCUCUUGUCUUCUC